rnacentral:rRNA from 1 species
UACGAAGGGGGCUAGCGUUGCUCGGAAUUACUGGGCGUAAAGCGUGCGCAGGCGGUUCGUUAAGUCAGAUGUGAAAGCCCCGGGCUCAACCUGGGAACUGCAUUUGAAACUGGCGGGCUUGAGUGUGGCAGAGGGGGGUGGAAUUCCGCGUGUAGCAGUGAAAUGCGUAGAGAUGCGGAAGAACACCGAUGGCGAAGGCAGCCCCCUGGGCCAACACUGACGCUCAGGCACGAAAGCGUGGGGAGCAAACAGG